rnacentral:lncRNA from 1 species
UUUUUUUUUUUUUCAUUUUUUGCGAAUGCAAUAUUUGUAUUUGUUUGUUGGAAGAAAUUUUUAUUUCCCCUUCUAUUUUAAAUGAUAUUCUUGCUGGAUAGAGUAUUCUAGGUUGCAUAUUUUUUUCCUUUUAGCACUUUAAAUAUCUCUUGCCAUUCCCUCCUGGCCUGUAGUGUUUCUGUAGAGAAAUCAGCUGAUAAUCUUAUGGGGGUUCCCUUGUAGGUAACAUUCUGCUUUUCUCUUGCUGCCCUUAGGAUCCUCUCUUUAUCACUAACUUUUGCCAUUUUUAUUAUGAUGUGUCUUGGUGUGGGUCUAUUUGGAUUUAAUUUGUAUGGGGCCCUCUCUGCUUCCUGUAUCUUGAACCCAGUAUCCUCUAGAUUUGGGAAGUUUCCAGCGAUAAUUUCUUCAAAUAUAUUUUCCAUUCCCUUAUCUUUUUCUACUCCUGGAAUUCCUAUUAUGAGUAGAUUGGCCCACUUUAUAUUAUCCCAUAGGUCUCUUAUAUUGAUUGGAAAUGUUUUUAAAAAUGAGGCAAGUGGUGUCAAAACUGAUCUCAGUUUCUAAAUUAAUCCCAUUUACUAUGCCUCUGUGAUGGGGCAACAGGGAGUGAGAUGGUAGUUAUUGAAAAAUUUUAAAAUGUCAGAUGUCAGAAAGCUAUCAGGUGUCCUCUCUUGUCACAUUAUACUGUAGAAAGAAAUCAGCACCUUCCUAGAAAAUUCUGCCUGGAAAGAGCCAAAGAAUACUAUUUAUAAACACAGGUGCAUAUACAGACACACACAGCAAGUAUACAAACCUGACACUUACACACCUGGAUACAGAGACAUCUGCAUUUGAAGAUACACACCGCAUAUCUGUACACUCCAAUUAGAAAUUAGGAAAGAAAAGCAGAGGAAGAGGGGUUUAUGAGUGGUCUUGAGGUUGUAUAUUGAAGCUGCUUCAUUCUUUCAAACUACAAAUUGUACAGAUAUCUCCUGGGUAGUGGUUUUAUUGAGGCAACAGCCUGGAGAACAUAAUCUCUCAUUCUAGGAAACUUGUGCAUUUGCUGCAGAAGCAUGGCAAGAUUGAGAGCCAUAAAGUCUUGCUUGGUUAUAACUUGAAAUGCCUGUAAGACAAGCAAAUUUAGGGAAAGAAUUUCUUAUCUCCAGAAAUCCUACCUCUGGUUAAUCACUCAUCUCACAUGAAGACACCUUCUCUAUCAUUUCUGCCAAAGGAACAUACAUUUGAUCCUAAGAAGUCUGAAUUCAUAGUUUCCUGUAUUGCUUUCUGAUAGGCUUUUCAAGAGGAGGUUCCCUGACCCUUGAAGGCAGGUCAUAAUGAAAUUCCCAUCCAGUCAUUUCAAGAAGAACCAUUCUUUGUAACAGGAAGUUACUAGUCCACCAGAGGCCAAGCAUGCUUCCUGGUCAGUCUCCCUAUCACCACAAUACACCUCUCUGUCUCCAAACAAAUUUAUCUAUCAACAACAUUCAGUUUCUCUACUUGGCCAUUUGUAAACAGUUAAAUGCUGCCUUUCUCAAGAGGUGGCUCAAUUAUUUAAUUUGAAAUUAAUCAAAUUACCUUAAAUUAAUGCACUUUACUCUUUCUACUUGAUGAAAUUUAAAGAGAAAAACUUCAUGUGAGGCUUUUUUUUUUUUAAAAUGUGGUUUUUUAUUAGAUUGUGAAUAAACAAUAAUUGUUUCUUUUUAAAGUUGUAUGAACAGAUUGCUCUCCCGGUGGGAAUGAACUCCAAAUAUCAGGGAGAAGGAUGACCUAGAAUCUUGAAAAGCUGAAACAUUCCCAGGGGGAGGUGGCUUCUCGAGUGUUUUUCUUUUAGACUUUGUAUUGCUGCUCAUCCAUGAGAAGUACACGGUAUUGGAAUAGGUCAGCAUGUGGAGAAAUACUAAAGAGGUGUUAUCUCUCCUCUGAAUCAUGUCAUAUAGUGCUUUAUAUUCCCCUGGAAAUUGAAGAAAAGCAAGAUCUCAUUAGAGCAAAUGAGGCCCAAAUUUACAAGCAUGUUUUGACUCUCUGGCUAUGGAUUCAGCCUGGAGCUCAGAAUUAGGUUGAGAGGAUGGCAGAGGUUGAGUAUGGUGAAGAUAACUCAGCAGGCACCCUUUCUUUUCUACAUCUUUUGUAAUCCACCCAUGUCUAAGAUGUCUCCUUCUUCAUUAUACCUAAUAACUGGUAAGUGUUGGCUGAGAUAAAAUCAAGCAUGAGUUUCAUGUUUUUCAAGGAAGUGACAGCCAGGAAGGGACAAGAAGAAAUGCUGAUGUCCACAUUUAAUUUGAAGAAAAAUGUGAGUUAUAGCUGAGUACAUAUCUGACUCAACUUCUGACAUUUAUCAAAGGGCUCACUGUAUUAGGCACUGUAUGUGGAUUGUCUCAUUUAAUUCUUGCAAAAAUCCAGUGAUUAUAUGCUUGGUUCCAUUUUUCAGAUAAGGAAGCUAGAGUUAAGUAAUAAGCUCAAGGUCAAAUAGUUUCUGCAUCUAAUCUCUUCAAAAUUUACAUGUUUUGCGCAUAAAUUGCCAAAGCACAAAUACUGCUUUGAUCAGUAUUUAGCUCCUUACUGACUUUUUUCCAAUGACCUCCACUGCCUGCAUAAUGAAGUAAUGGAUUUGAGACCUUAGCCACAGUCCCACUUUGCUGCCUUAUUGACCUCCACUGUGUCACAGGAACCAGCUGCUUUUGCCUUCACUUGCUGUCUCUCCAUAUAACAUCGUCUUGCCAUUAUCUGACCCCUUGCUUCCACUCAUGAACUCCUUGAUCUCUGGGUAAUUGGGAUCCAGUCUUUUUCCUGCCACAGGGAAGAAAGGUCAGUCAGCAUGGUUGGUCUCUGCCAUGGCACCUGCUAGUUGGCUUUUAUACCAGGCUGUCCUUCUCUCCUGACAUCUGUACCUACACCAGUUGUUUACCAUCCAUUUCCCCAAGGUGGUCACCUAUGUUAAUUUGCUGGGGAUCCUUAAACAAAGCACUGCAAACUGAGUGUUUUAAACAACAGAAAUACGUGGUUUUAUAGUGCUGGAGGGUAGAAGGUUGAGAUCAUGGUGUUGGUAGACUUGAUUCCUGUGGCUGUGAUGGUGAAUCUCUGCCUCGACCCUAGCUGCUGAUGGUUUUCUGGGAAUCUUUGUCAUUCCUUGGCUUUUAGAAGCAUCACCUCAAUCACUGCCUUCAUCUUCAUGUGAUGUUCUCCUUGGUUACAUGUCUGUUUCAAAUCCACUCUUUUUAUAAGGACACUUACGUUAAAUUAGGACCUCUUCUCUCUAAUGAGCUCAUCUUAACUAAUUAUAUCUGCUUUGACCCUAUUCAUAAAUAGGGUCACAUCUGAUGCACUGGGGGUUAGGACCUCAGCAUGGAAAUUUUGAGGGAACACAUGUCCACUCAUAAGAUUGGCCCAUUAUUUAUCCAUAACUCUACUUAUGGUUUCCUCUUAGUUGCUUUGCAACACUGAGUCCUAUAUUCUUACACUUUUGUAACUUCAUGCAGCAUCUGGGAACCUCUGAAUCAUGGUGCCAGUUUGGAGGAUGAAAGCAGUUAGAACAGAUCCUAGGGUGAGUCAAGUCUAAUAGCACUCAUCUAAGCAAAUGCUUCACAGAUCAGGGCCCAGCAGGGAGCAAACGGAAAAUUCCUAGUAACAAUUAUUUGGAAAAGAGUACUUUACAAAAUUCAAAUUUUUCAGUGUUUUAAUCAUGAAUUUGAUGGAUUAGGCAUGAUGACUGUGUCUGCAAAGUCAUAUAAGAUGAAGUAUGGCUGAAUAGUAGAGCUAAAACCAAGGAAAAUGUCAUUAAGUCCUUCCAAAUGUCAUUAAGAAAGUUUUUUGGAUCAAAUCAGAUGGAUUAAAUGUUUCCUUCCUGCAUCUGGAGCUAAAAGUGCAAAAUACAGCUUAUCAGUGUCUCUUUGAGUUAUCAUGUAAUUCUACAAACACAUUACUUUACCCGUGUAACCCAUCAUAGGGCAUUCACAAUAACAUUAGGACUUCAUAGUGGCUACACAUUUGGCCUGUUAAACCGAUGAGAUAUUUUUAGCUUUUGGCAGAUGUCACCGUGACUGUGUUUAAGAAUCACUUUGUCCUUUUACAUUUCAAACCAUUUUAAAGGUUAAGGAGAGAAAAAUCUAUUUUUGAACCAAGGUUCAGAAAAUGUUUUAAAAGAUUGUCUUGAGGUUUUGCAGCUAAGUUGUACAAAUCUGUUGUGAUCCCUAUUCCAAAAGGAAAUUUAUUCAAUAUUUACUAGUAAUUAAAGAGAGAGAACAUUUUAGAAUGCCACAGGAAUAAAAAACAGGGGAGAGAGAGCAUCAUGUCCAAGGUAAGUAUAUCAAAAUUAGAAAUUAAAAGUCAAAGUUUGUAGGUAAUUGGUAGAGAACAAGGACUAAGUAGUCUUUUAUCUACUUUUAAAAUUCUAACCUUUUUUCUCUCUCCCUCUCUCUCUCUUUUAAAUCACAGUUCUAUUAUGUACUAUAAAACUGUGGAAAAUACUUAAAUGUUUAGGAGAGCUGACUCAACCUUAUCCCGUAUUCGCCUGUAGAUAGCCACUAAAAUUGUUGGUCAAAAUUCUAGGGACUACCUAACUUGUUUUUAACAUGAUAUGCAAAAUUAGGCCUAGCCAGUGUCUUGGAUUUAGAUCCCAUCAAUGUAAUAUAUUCCCAGGGGUACCAGUUGUUUUCAUCAGAAUUAUUCAAAACUUUAUGGAAUUUAGUUGAAGUUGGUCUGUGGUACAGUUUGGGAGAUUUUGACAUUUGCUGUCAGAGAUUUAAGGUGUCACUAUAACAGGGACAUGAGGAGUUGGCAUCACAGACAGAAAUAGGCAGUAGUUUUUAAGCGUUUAUGUCAAAAGAAUACAGGCUAAUAACAUUGAAAAAUAAUGGGCAUAAGAAGAGGAUUAGGAGAAAGGAGCGCAUAGUGUAAGUAGAUAAGGAAACCAUGGAAAAAUGACGAAGGACAGAGGGAGUCUUUCCAUGGAUGGCACAGGACAGAAGUCUCAGAGGAAGGCAAAAUGAGACAGUGUGGGCUUUAUGGGGAAAAAAAAAUAGCUAAGAUUGGUAUAAUUUUAAAACUAUACAUUGAAUUAAUGAAAAAAUUAGAGAACUGCUUAUAAUUACAGAAAAUUGAAAAAGUGACCCCUUUUUGUUUGCAAAUGAAUACAGUAUGGUGUAUUUCUCCCAGGAGGCAAGGGGGCUUUUUAAAAAGUUUAAAGUGCUGUAUUUGAACCCAUCUGAUAUACAGAAUACAGAUGGGCUCUUCAGCAGUCAUUUAAAACUUUUCAAUUGUGGAAAGAA